GAUGAACGCUGGCGGCGUGCUUAACACAUGCAAGUCGAACGGAAAGGCGCUGCUUUUGUGGGGCGCUCGAGUGGCGAACGGGUGAGUAACACGUGAGUAUCCUGCCCUUGUCUUUGUGGUAACUUCAGGAAACUGGGGCUCAUAUCGGAUAUGAGCUCCUGCUCCAUGGGGGUGGCUGGAAAGUUUCGGCUGUGGUGGUUGUACUCGCGGCUUAUCAGCUUGUUGGUGGGGUAGUGGCUUUCCAAGGCUUUGACGGGUAGCCGGCCUGUGCGGGUGACCGGCCACAAUGGGACUGAGAUACGGACCAGACUCCUACGGGAGGCAGAAGUGGGGAGUAUUGCACAAUGGGCGGGAGCCUGAUGCAGAAACGCCGCGUGCGGGAUGACGGCCUUCGGGUUGUAAACCGCUUUCGCCUGUGACGAAGCGUGAGUGACGGUAAUGGGUAAAGAAGCACCGGCUAACUACGUG
rnacentral:rRNA from 1 species